rnacentral:rRNA from 1 species
AGUGAACGCUGGCGGUAGGCCUAACACAUGCAAGUCGAACGGCAGCACAGUAAGAGCUUGCUCUUACGGGUGGCGAGUGGCGGACGGGUGAGGAAUACAUCGGAAUCUACUUUUUCGUGGGGGAUAACGUAGGGAAACUUACGCUAAUACCGCAUACGACCUACGGGUGAAAGCAGUGGUUCUUCGGACCUUGCGCGUUUGAAUGAGCCGAUGUCGGAUUAGCUAGUUGGCGGGGUAAAGGCCCACCAAGGCGACGAUCCGUAGCUGGUCUGAGAGGAUGAUCAGCCACACUGGAACUGAGACACGGUCCAGACUCCUACGGGAGGCAGCAGUGGGGAAUAUUGGACAAUGGGCGCAAGCCUGAUCCAGCCAUACCGCGUGGGUGAAGAAGGCCUUCGGGUUGUAAAGCCCUUUUGUUGGGAAAGAAAAGCAGCAGGUUAAUACCCCGCUGUUCUGACGGUACCCAAAGAAUAAGCACCGGCUAACUUCGUG